rnacentral:tRNA from 1 species
UCCGCCAUGGUGUAAAGGCAGCACACGGGUCUUUGGAACCCUUAGUCUAGGUUCGAAUCCUAGUGGCGGAGCGA